UCCGAAUGGGGGAACCCAACAUCUUUAAUAGGAUGUUACGAUUGUGUGAAUACAUAGCACAUUCGAGGUAGACGCAGAGAACUGAAACAUCUAAGUACCUGCAGGAAGAGAAAGAAAAUUCGAUUCCCUGAGUAGCGGCGAGCGAAACGGGAAAAGCCCAAACCAGCAAGCUUGCUUGUUGGGGUUGUAGGACUCCAAUAUGGUAGUUCUUUCAGAUAGUCGAAUGACUUGGAAAAGUCAGUCAAAGAGGGUAAAAACCCCGUAGACGAAAUGUGGAAGACACCUAGGAGGAUCCUGAGUACGGCGGAACACGAGAAAUUCCGUCGGAAUCCGGGAGGACCAUCUCCCAAGGCUAAAUACUCCCUAGUGACCGAUAGUGAACCAGUACCGUGAGGGAAAGGUGAAAAGCACCCCGGAAGGGGAGUGAAAUAGAACCUGAAACCGUGUGCCUACAACAAGUCAAAGCCCGUUAAUGGGUGAUGGCGUGCCUUUUGUAGAAUGAACCGGCGAGUUACGAUUGCAUGCGAGGUUAAGUUGAAGAGACGGAGCCGCAGCGAAAGCGAGUCUGAAUAGGGCGUUUGAGUAUGUAGUCGUAGACCCGAAACCAUGUGAUCUACCCAUGUCCAGGUUGAAGGUGCGGUAAAACGCACUGGAGGACCGAACCCACGUACGUUGAAAAGUGCGGGGAUGAGGUGUGGGUAGCGGAGAAAUUCCAAACGAACUUGGAGAUAGCUGGUUCUCUCCGAAAUAGCUUUAGGGCUAGCCUCGGAAUUGAGAAUGAUGGAGGUAGAGCACUGUUUGGACUAGGGGCCCAUCUCGGGUUACCGAAUUCAGAUAAACUCCGAAUGCCAUUCAUUCAUAUCCGGGAGUCAGACUGUGAGUGAUAAGAUCCAUAGUCGAAAGGGAAACAGCCCAGACCACCAGCUAAGGUCCCAAAAUAUAUGUUAAGUGGAAAAGGAUGUGGGGUUGCACAGACAACUAGGAUGUUGGCUUAGAAGCAGCCACCAUUUAAAGAGUGCGUAAUAGCUCACUAGUCGAGUGACCCUGCGCCGAAAAUGUACCGGGGCUAAACAUAUUACCGAAGCUGUGGAGUACACCUUUAGGUGUAUUGGUAGGAGAGCGUUCUAAGGGCGUUGAAGGCAGAUCGUGAGGACUGCUGGAGCGCUUAGAAGUGAGAAUGCCGGUAUGAGUAGCGAAAGACAGGUGAGAAUCCUGUCCACCGAAUGACUAAGGUUUCCUGGGGAAGGCUCGUCCGCCCAGGGUUAGUCGGGACCUAAGCCGAGGCCGACAGGCGUAGGCGAUGGAUAACAGGUUGAUAUUCCUGUACCCGUUGUUUUUGUUUGAGCAAUGGAGGGACGCAGGAGGCUAAGGAAUGCAGACGAUCGGAAAUGUCUGUCCAAGCAGUAAGUCUGAAGAGGAGU
rnacentral:rRNA from 1 species